rnacentral:rRNA from 1 species
GACGAACGCUGGCGGCGUGCUUAACACAUGCAAGUCGAACGGUGAAGCGCCUUCCUUUUUGGUGGGUGUGGAUGAGUGGCGAACGGGUGAGUAACACGUGAGUAACCUGCCCCCUUCUUCUGGAUAACCGCAUGAAAGUGUGGCUAAUACGGGAUAUUCUGGGUCUGUCGCAUGAUGGGUCUGGGAAAGAUAUUGUUUCGGUGGGGGAUGGGCUCGCGGCCUAUCAGCUUGUUGGUGGGGUGAUGGCCUACCAAGGCGGUGACGGGUAGCCGGCCUGAGAGGGUGGACGGUCACACUGGGACUGAGACACGGCCCAGACUCCUACGGGAGGCAGCAGUGGGGAAUAUUGCACAUUGGGCGCAAGCCUGAUGCAGCGACGCCGCGUGAGGGAUGGAGGCCUUCGGGUUGUGAACCUCUUUCGCCAGUGAAGCAGGCCUGCCUCGUUUGUGGGUGGGUUGACGGUAGCUGGAUAAGAAGCGCCGGCUAACUACGU